UACGGGGGGAGCAAGCGUUGUUCGGAUUUACUGGGCGUAAAGGGCGCGUAGGCGGUCAGCGCAAGUCAGUUGUGAAAUCUCCGAGCUUAACUCGGAAAGGUCAGCCGAUACUGCGGGGCUAGAGUGCAGAAGGGGCAACUGGAAUUCUCGGUGUAGCGGUGAAAUGCGUAGAUAUCGAGAGGAACACCUGCGGCGAAGGCGGGUUGCUGGGCUGACACUGACGCUGAGGCGCGAAAGCUAGGGGAGCGAACGGG
rnacentral:rRNA from 1 species